rnacentral:rRNA from 1 species
GUGGGGAAUUUUGGACAAUGGGCGCAAGCCUGAUCCAGCCAUGCCGCGUGCAGGAUGAAGGCCUUCGGGUUGUAAACUGCUUUUGUACGGAACGAAAAGACUCCUUCUAAUAAAGGGGGUCCAUGACGGUACCGUAAGAAUAAGCACCGGCUAACUACGUGCCAGCAGCCGCGGUAAUACGUAGGGUGCGAGCGUUAAUCGGAAUUACUGGGCGUAAAGCGUGCGCAGGCGGUUAUGUAAGACAGAUGUGAAAUCCCCGGGCUCAACCUGGGAACUGCAUUUGUGACUGCAUAGCUAGAGUACGGCAGAGGGGGAUGGAAUUCCGCGUGUAGCAGUGAAAUGCGUAGAUAUGCGGAGGAACACCGAUGGCGAAGGCAAUCCCCUGGUCCUGUACUGACGCUCAUGCACGAAAGCGUGGGGAGCAAACAGGAUUAGAUACCCGGGUAGUCC